CAGGCUGGCCGGGCGAUCGCGGUCGCGUGCACUGCACGCGGUCGAGGAAAGUCCGCACUCCAAAGAGCACGGCGUCGGGUAACACCCGGGGCGGGACAACCUGCCGGAUCAGGGCCACAGAAACAGGUCGCCCUCACCCCCAGCCCCUCUCCCGCUCGCGGGAGAGGGGGGAGGGGUGAGGGUAAGAGUGAAAAGGCGGUGUAAGAGACCACCGGCGCCCGCAGCAAUGCAGGCGGCCAGGCAACCCCCGCCGGGAGCAAGGCCAAGCAGAGACAAAGUCGCCUCCGGGCGGCGGGAGGCUGCUCGUCUCCCUUGAGUCUCGGGUAGGCUGCUAGAGCGGCGCGGUAACGCGCCGCCCAGAGAGAUGAUCGCCCAGGCGGAGAAACGGGAAGAAGCCCUGAGCUUCGGCGAAGAGUGUAAACCGGAACCCCUCCGCUGGACAGGAUGCGGCUUACAGGCCAGCCUGAGGU
rnacentral:RNase_P_RNA from 1 species